rnacentral:rRNA from 1 species
AUGGGAGGAAGAGAUCAUGGGCGUGCUCAUCAUGACCAUGAAGAUGAUGUGAUUGGUAAAUUCAAACUUACCAUACCAUCAUUCAAUGCUAACUCUAGUGUUGAUGAGUACUAUAAAGAGAUGGAGAUUUGGAUGAUUAGGAUAGCGGCGCAUGAGCCAGAGGAGGCCACAAUGUCAAGAUUCUUUCAUGGGCUGAAUGAAGAUGUGUAAGAAAGGAUAAAGAUGGUUAUGUAUCAAGAUUUGCAAGAACGUGUGCAUCAGGCUAUUCGUGUAGAGCAGCAGCUGAAGCUUCACCAAAAUCGCUGCCAAACAUAUACAUCAAGCACUUGGAGAGGUUCAGUUCAGCGAGAAGUAGAUGGAAGCGUUGUUGCAAAUUUUCGCUCACACAGCAAGAUGACUGCAAAAGAAGCUAAUGCAUCAAAGGUUGAAUCUUCCAAUACUCUUGUGACUUGCAUUAGUAAUAUUCAGUGUCAUACAUGCAAGGGUAGAGGUCACUUCAAGAAGGAUUGUCCUAAUUUGAAGAAGGUGCUUCUCACAAAUGAUGGAUAUGUCACCGAUGACUCAAGUGAAAAAUCUGAAUAUGAGAAGAAAGAUGCAAAAUAUUGUACUUUCGAGACCGGAGCACCUCUGAGUUCAGAUGGAGGGGAUGGUGUUAAUCUCAUGGUUCGCAAAGUGGCUCAUGAUGAUGCUCCUAUUGUUGAGAAGGGCCAGCGACAAAAU